UACGUAGGGAGGCGAGCGUUGUCCGGAGUUACUGGGCGUAAAGGGUGCGCAGGCGGCGGUGCGCGUGGCGAGAUGAAAUCUCCUGGCUUACCUGGGAGGGUGGUCGCCAGACGGACAUCGCUUGAGGGUCGGAGAGGGGCGUGGAAUUCCGGGUGGAGCGGUGAAAUGCGGUAGAGAUCCGGAGGAACACCGACGGGCGUA
rnacentral:rRNA from 1 species